AACGUAUGCAGUUUCUUUAGAUUUGCUUUAUUUGAUGGUGAGAUAUAUCCUCUUGAGUCGAUUUCAAAAGAUUGAACAUGCUGUAUUAAGAUAGAAAGAAUGAAGUUCUGUUUAAUGCUGAUAAUGUGUCUCUUGAUCCUCCAAUUCUCAAUGGUGCCAGCCCAACAACCUAGAGGCUAUCCUCCUAACUCACGCAGCACUGGCGAGUACGAGCCCCGGCCACCUGGUCCAAUUAGAGAAUGUAUUAGAUGCUACACCAAGGACAACAGUGACAACUGUGUUUAUUCUUGUUGAAAAAUCAUCAUCUGCAAUGCAAACAUCACACUCAAGAGAUGGAAAAAUAUUAAUCCUAAUUUCUAACGAUGUUCCAGAGCUGGGAACUUUUGAAUGGUGGAUAUCGGGAUUAAUGCUUGAUCCACUCUUUUUCUUAAUCUUGAGAUUAA